GUCGACGGAUAGCUCAGUCAGCAGAGCAGGAGACACUUAAUCUCAGGGUUGUGGGUUCGAGCGCCACAUUGGGCA